rnacentral:rRNA from 1 species
AAGAGGGAAACAACCCAGACCGCCAGCUAAGGUCCCAAAGUCAUGGUUAAGUGGGAAACGAUGUGGGAAGGCCCAGACAGCCAGGAUGUUGGCUUAGAAGCAGCCAUCAUUUAAAGAAAGCGUAAUAGCUCACUGGUCGAGUCGGCCUGCGCGGAAGAUGUAACGGGGCUAAACCAUGCACCGAAGCUGCGGCAGCGACGCUGAUGCGUUGUUGGGUAGGGGAGCGUUCUGUAAGCCUGCGAAGGUGUGCUGUGAGGCAUGCUGGAGGUAUCAGAAGUGCGAAUGCUGACAUAAGUAACGAUAAAGCGGGUGAAAAGCCCGCUCGCCGGAAGACCAAGGGUUCCUGUCCAACGUUAAUCGGGGCAGGGUGAGUCGACCCCUAAGGCGAGGCCGAAAGGCGUAGUCGAUGGGAAACAGGUUAAUAUUCCUGUACUUGGUGUUACUGCGAAGGGGGGACGGAGAAGGCUAUGUUGGCCGGGCGACGGUUGUCCCGGUUUAAGCGUGUAGGCUGGUUUUCCAGGCAAAUCCGGAAAAUCAAGGCUGAGGCGUGAUGACGAGGCACUGCGGUGCUGAAGCAACAAAUGCCCUGCUUCCAGGAAAAGCCUCUAAGCAUCAGGUAACAUCAAAUCGUACCCCAAACCGACACAGGUGGUCAGGUAGAGAAUACCAAGGCGCUUGAGAGAACUCGGGUGAAGGAACUAGGCAAAAUGGUGCCGUAACUUCGGGAGAAGGCACGCUGAUAUGUAGGUGAAGUCCCUCGCGGAUGGAGCUGAAAUCAGUCGAAGAUACCAGCUGGCUGCAACUGUUUAUUAAAAACACAGCACUGUGCAAACACGAAAGUGGACGUAUACGGUGUGACGCCUGCCCGGUGCCGGAAGGUUAAUUGAUGGGGUUAGCGCAAGCGAAGCUCUUGAUCGAAGCCCCGGUAAACGGCGGCCGUAACUAUAACGGUCCUAAGGUAGCGAAAUUCCUUGUCGGGUAAGUUCCGACCUGCACGAAUGGCGUAAUGAUGGCCAGGCUGUCUCCACCCGAGACUCAGUGAAAUUGAACUCGCUGUGAAGAUGCAGUGUACCCGCGGCAAGACGGAAAGACCCCGUGAACCUUUACUAUAGCUUGACACUGAACAUUGAGCCUUGAUGUGUAGGAUAGGUGGGAGGCUUUGAAGUGUGGACGCCAGUCUGCAUGGAGCCGACCUUGAAAUACCACCCUUUAAUGUUUGAUGUUCUAACGUUGACCCGUAAUCCGGGUUGCGGACAGUGUCUGGUGGGUAGUUUGACUGGGGCGGUCUCCUCCUAAAGAGUAACGGAGGAGCACGAAGGUUGGCUAAUCCUGGUCGGACAUCAGGAGGUUAGUGCAAUGGCAUAAGCCAGCUUGACUGCGAGCGUGACGGCGCGAGCAGGUGCGAAAGCAGGUCAUAGUGAUCCGGUGGUUCUGAAUGGAAGGGCCAUCGCUCAACGGAUAAAAGGUACUCCGGGGAUAACAGGCUGAUACCGCCCAAGAGUUCAUAUCGACGGCGGUGUUUGGCACCUCGAUGUCGGCUCAUCACAUCCUGGGGCUGAAGUAGGUCCCAAGGGUAUGGCUGUUCGCCAUUUAAAGUGGUACGCGAGCUGGGUUUAGAACGUCGUGAGACAGUUCGGUCCCUAUCUGCCGUGGGCGCUGGAGAACUGAGGGGGGCUGCUCCUAGUACGAGAGGACCGGAGUGGACGCAUCACUGGUGUUCGGGUUGUCAUGCCAAUGGC